UCCUCAGGUUACACUUUUGGGUCUCAGGCAGUGGAAAAUGUUAAGGCAACUAAGUAGCUAUUAGCUGGGCCUCCUACUAGUUGGACAGUACAGCAUGGUCGCUAGGAAGAAGGCAAAAGCUCUGUCUUCAAGUUUAGAAUACUAGAUGCUGAUGAAAUGAAAACUGCAAACGGCUUCAGUAGUCCUGAAACCCUAAACCAGUCUGUGGAGAUCUGCUCUGGGCCUAAGGAUGAGGUCUGCAGAGCUGUGCACCUUGAGUCUCCUCUCAACAAUGCAGAACAAACACUGCGGAGAAUGCCAACACAUACAACAAGGUGUUUACGGUGCAAUUUAACCAAUUUGAAUAUA